rnacentral:rRNA from 1 species
GAUGAACGCUGGCGGCGUGCUUAACACAUGCAAGUCGAACGAUGAAGCCCGGCUUGCUGGGUGGAUUAGUGGCGAACGGGUGAGUAACACGUGAGUAACCUGCCCUUGACUCUGGGAUAAGCCUGGGAAACUGGGUCUAAUACUGGAUAUGACUUCUCAUCGCAUGGCGGGGGGUGGAAAGAUUUAUUGGUCUUGGAUGGACUCGCGGCCUAUCAGCUUGUUGGUGAGGUAAUGGCUCACCAAGGCGACGACGGGUAGCCGGCCUGAGAGGGUGACCGGCCACACUGGGACUGAGACACGGCCCAGACUCCUACGGGAGGCAGCAGUGGGGAAUAUUGCACAAUGGGCGCAAGCCUGAUGCAGCGACGCCGCGUGAGGGAUGACGGCCUUCGGGUUGUAAACCUCUUUCAGUAGGGAAGAAGCGAGAGUGACGGUACCUGCAGAAGAAGCGCCGGCUAACUACGUG